rnacentral:rRNA from 1 species
UACGAAGGGGGCUAGCGUUGUUCGGAAUUACUGGGCGUAAAGCGCACGUAGGCGGAUAUUUAAGUCGGGGGUGAAAUCCCGGGGCUCAACCCCGGAACUGCCUUCGAUACUGGGUAUCUUGAGUUCGGAAGAGGUGAGUGGAAUUGCGAGUGUAGAGGUGAAAUUCGUAGAUAUUCGCAGGAACACCAGUGGCGAAGGCGGCUCACUGGUCCGAUACUGACGCUGAGACGCGAAAGCGUGGGGAGCA